rnacentral:lncRNA from 1 species
AACUCAAAAUCUAACAUCGCUUUUCAACAUAUUGUUAAUUACGUCUGAAUUUACAUUUUCAGUGUCAGAAGGGGGUUGGCGAGGAGGGGGAAGGAUAUCGUAUUAAUAAUCCAUAUACCUACUUAGACUAUAAUUUACACCUUUAGGAAACCAGUUGAAUGGAUCAAAACUACAUAGAUAUAUUUACAAUCUCUGUACAGCAAUGCGUGAUAGUCAGCCGCUCCACCAAAGUCACGAAACAUCCCUUUCCGAUAAAAGCAAAUCCUACUUCUCUGCCGCAGAUGUCAACGCCUAUUUAUCUGCCACAUGUUUAUACUUCAGUAAAAUAACUACGCAAAACAUGCCAUAAAUUAGCAAAUCUGAACCAUCAAGGGAUUUUUUCUCUUUUUCCUUGUGAAGACAAGAACAAAGUAACACAGGAAAAAAUAAUGACCGGAUUGAUCAGGUGCCUGCAAGUUGCAGUAACGUAGACAGUCAAAACAAGGGAAGAAUCAGAGGGAGGCACUAAGAAGCUUUUCGCCAGCAACAUUUUGUAACAUUUUUUAGCAGAAAAUCUCAAUGCAGAAGCAGCAGUAGGGACUGCAACAUGAAUGUUGGGAAUGGGAUGGCAAUGAGACAGGUCCAUCUCACCCACGCAUGAAUGAAAGUGGAGAGAGUACUUAGCAGGUCAAUAUUGUUUUUGUUUCUUUUUAUUUAGCAGCAUAUCUAUCACCAAGUUCAGCUCAACUUAACAAAACUAUUCUAGACGUCUUCUAUUAGUAAUUUUCCGUGUUAAACUUUUCUGAUUCUUAACAAACUAUUAUGCUUUGAUUAAGGUUUCGAAAACUAAAUUAAAUCUAGUGAAACAUCAGAUUAGAUUGUAAUAUUGCAAACUCAUCUUGAAGUGCAUAACAUAUCAGCUAAGGUUACCC